AUACUAUACCGUUGAAAUCCUUGAUAUCUUGAAGUCAGAUUUUAUUCCUUCUUAUAUUAAAAUUCAAAAGAGUCAACAUUAAAUUAAGCAAUAAUGUAUUAAUAAACAAUCACCUUUCUUUAAUGUUUAUUCAUUUCGUUCGUGUAUAUUUUAGAAAUUAAGAAAUGAAAACUGUAACUGUACUAAGUUCCAUUUUCGUAUCGUUUAUAUGCAUUACGGAAAACCGACCUUUUCCGGAAUCGACUUUUGUUUUAUCACCGGAAAUGAUAUUAAAUUUUGAAAUUUGAAACGAAGACAGGAUAUCAACAAAGAGAGCCAAGAAAAUUGUUUGUUACGCGAUAUAUACUCACUUGGAGCUAUAAAAAAAGCCACAAAGGACAAGUUCAAUAUGCAGGUUUACAAUUUGGAAGUGGCACAGGUUCUUUGGAAUGUCGACAACCUUUCAGGAGAAAUUUGUUUUUGAAACGCAUGGCACAGCAAGAAAAAGAUAUAAGUCACUAAAAGACAUUCCAAGUGGUUUUGAAUAAGACAAUUAAUUGACUUUUUCAAUGUAUUCUUAAAUAAAUCAAAUAGUUGAUGUAAAAUGGUGUUUUGUUCUCAUCUCUUAAGCCAAUUAUCAACAAUUAUUGACUUAAGAUGUAAUCCUAUUAGAAGUGUUACGUUUGAGUUUAGAAAGAGAAGUUAUAUUGAAAAAUCUGAAUUUGGGACAUAAGUUUUAGUCUAUGUAACUUGAACUUAAAAAUGUGUAUAAUGUUUGCAUAAUGUCCAAUGGCAUAUAUGUCAUGCAUGUUCAGGUUGACAUAUGCAUGAUUUGUAUAAGAUAGGUAAUAAAAGUUGAGAGUGAAAAACUAAACAUUAUACCAUUGUGGUAGGAAUGUGGACUUUCUUGCACUGUCUGUCGUCUGUCCACCUAUAUUUGUCGGAUUUUGUCCAACAAAUAUUUUCAUUACUGUUUUUCCCAAAACUGUUGAUCAAGAUGAGUUCAUAUUUGUUGAGCUGCUUGAUUGUGAUGAACUGUGAUGUGUGAACAUUUUUGUA